UGGGGAAUAUUGGACAAUGGGCGAAAGCCUGAUCCAGCCAUGCCGCGUGUGUGAAGAAGGUCUUCGGAUUGUAAAGCACUUUAAGUUGGGAGGAAGGGCAUUAACCUAAUACGUUAGUGUUUUGACGUUACCGACAGAAUAAGCACCGGCUAACUCUGUGCCAGCAGCCGCGGUAAUACAGAGGGUGCAAGCGUUAAUCGGAAUUACUGGGCGUAAAGCGCGCGUAGGUGGUUUGUUAAGUUGGAUGUGAAAUCCCCGGGCUCAACCUGGGAACUGCAUUCAAAACUGACUGACUAGAGUAUGGUAGAGGGUGGUGGAAUUUCCUGUGUAGCGGUGAAAUGCGUAGAUAUAGGAAGUAACACCAGUGGCGACGGCGACCACCUGGACUAAUACUGACACUGAGGUGCGAAAGCGUGGGGAGCAAACA
rnacentral:rRNA from 1 species